AGUGAACGCUGGCGGUAGGCCUAACACAUGCAAGUCGAACGGCAGCACAGUAAGAGCUUGCUCUUACGGGUGGCGAGUGGCGGACGGGUGAGGAAUACAUCGGAAUCUACUUUUUCGUGGGGGAUAACGUAGGGAAACUUACGCUAAUACCGCAUACGACCUACGGGUGAAAGCAGGGGAUCUUCGGACCUUGCGCGAUUGAAUGAGCCGAUGUCGGAUUAGCUAGUUGGCGGGGUAAAGGCCCACCAAGGCGACGAUCCGUAGCUGGUCUGAGAGGGUGAUCGGCGACACGGGAACUGAGACACGGUCCAGACUCCUGCGGGAGGCAGCAGUGGGGAAUAUGGGACAAUGGGCGCAAGCCUGAUCCAGCCAUACCGCGUGGGUGAAGAAGGCCUUCGGGUUGUAAAGCCCUUUUGUUGGGAAAGAAAAGCAGCAGGUUAAUACCCCGCUGUUCUGACGGUACCCAAAGAAUAAGCACCGGCUAACUUCGUG
rnacentral:rRNA from 1 species